rnacentral:rRNA from 1 species
GACGAACCGAGCGAACGUUGUUCGGAAUCACUGGGCUUAAAGGGCGCGUAGGCGGGUGCUCAAGUCCGGGGUGAAAUCCUCCAGCUCAACUGGAGAACUGCCUCGGAUACUGGGUGCCUCGAGGGUGGUAGGGGUAUGCGGAACUAUCGGUGGAGCGGUGAAAUGCGUUGAUAUCCACAGGAACUCCGGUGGCGAAGGCGGCACGCUGGACCUCUUCUGACGCUGAGGCGCGAAAGCCAGGGGAGCAAACGGG